rnacentral:rRNA from 1 species
GGUGAACGCUGGCGGCGUGCCUAAGACAUGCAAGUCGAGCGGGCCGCGGGGUUUUACUCCGUGGUCAGCGGCGGACGGGUGAGUAACGCGUGGGUGACCUACCCGGAAGAGGGGGACAACCCGGGGAAACUCGGGCUAAUCCCCCAUGUGGACCCGCCCCUCGGGGUGUGUCCAAAGGGCUUUGCCCGCUUCCGGAUGGGCCCGCGUCCCAUCAGCUAGUUGGUGGGGUAAUGGCCCACCAAGGCGCCGACGGGUAGCCGGCCUGAGAGGGUGGCCGGCCACAGGGGCACUGAGACACGGGCCGCACUCCUACGGGAGGCAGCAGUUAGGAAUCUGCCGCAAUGGGCGCAAGCCUGACGGAGCGACGCCGCGUGGAGGAAGAAGCCCUGCGGGGUGUAAACUCCUGAACCCGGGACGAAAACCCCGACGAGGGGACGGACGGUACCGGGGUAAUAGCGCCGGCCAACUCCGUG